GAGGGUAUAGCUCAGUGGUAGAGCGCACGCUUAGCAUGCAUGAGGCCCUGGGUUCAAUCCCCAUUAUCUACA